rnacentral:rRNA from 1 species
UCGGGAAUAUUGCACAAUGGGGGAAACCCUGAUGCAGUGAUGCCGCGUAUAGGAAGAAGGUUUUCGGAUUGUAAACUAUUGUCGACAGGGAAGAUGAAAAGACGGUACCUGUGGAGGAAGCCCCGGCUAACUACGUGCCAGCAGCCGCGGUAAUACGUAGGGGGCGAGCGUUGUCCGGAAUUAUUGGGUGUAAAGGGUGCGUAGACGGGUUAUUAAGUUAGUUGUGAAAUCCCCAGGCUCAACUUGGGAACUGCAACUAAAACUGGUAAUCUUGAGUAUGGGAGAGGAAAGUGGAAUUCCUAGUGUAGCGGUGAAAUGCGUAGAGAUUAGGAGGAACACCAGUGGCGAAGGCGACUUUCUGGACCAAAACUGACGUUGAGGCACGAAAGUGUGGGGAGCA